AUGGGAUAUAGAAGGGUGAUGGUUGGGUUGGGACAUUGUGUAGGAAAAGGAGGAACUAGAGUCAACAAUGAAAGGAACAUAAAAUUGGACACUUAUUGGUGUACGUACCUACUCCUACUUGUUAGUGGAAACAAUGCGCACAGAACAGAAUCAUAUCAGCAGGCAGGGUUGAGCCGUGUCCGUCCAAACAAGACCGACCAUCCAUCCAUCGGUUUCAGGAAGAUAGUGCAAGAUACUAUAGUGCAAAAGGUCAGGUGGCAACGAACUAUGGGAGCAGAGCAGAGGAGAGGACGGGCAUUUCUUCUUUUCUUCCUCUUCUUCUCCACGGCGGGCGGCAACUCCCCCAUCACCGACAUGCUCCGGGACGGCGCCGAGGUUGGGCUUGGACGGGCCAUGUUGUUAAUUGUGUGGAGUAGCUAG
rnacentral:rRNA from 1 species